AAUGUAACGAGUGUGGGAAACUA
rnacentral:piRNA from 1 species